rnacentral:rRNA from 1 species
UACAUGGGGUGCAAACGUUGCUCGGAAUUAUUGGGCGUAAAGAGCUCGUAGGCGGUUUGUUGCGUCGGCUGUGAAAUCCCGAGGCUCAACCUCGGGUCUGCAGUCGAUACGAGCAAACUAGAGUGUUGCAGGGGAGACUGGAAUUCCUGGUGUAGCGGUGAAAUGCGCAGAUAUCAGGAGGAACACCGGUGGCGAAGGCGGGUCUCUGGGCAACAACUGACGCUGGAGGAGCG